UGGGGAAUUUUGGACAAUGGGGGAAACCCUGAUCCAGCCAUCCCGCGUGUGCGAUGAAGGCCUUCGGGUUGUAAAGCACUUUUGGCAGGAAAGAAACGUCGCGGGUUAAUACCCCGCGGAACUGACGGUACCUGCAGAAUAAGCACCGGCUAACUACGUGCCAGCAGCCGCGGUAAUACGUAGGGUGCAAGCGUUAAUCGGAAUUACUGGGCGUAAAGCGUGCGCAGGCGGUUCGGAAAGAAAGAUGUGAAAUCCCAGAGCUUAACUUUGGAACUGCAUUUUUAACUACCGGGCUAGAGUGUGUCAGAGGGAGGUGGAAUUCCGCGUGUAGCAGUGAAAUGCGUAGAUAUGCGGAGGAACACCGAUGGCGAAGGCAGCCUCCUGGGAUAACACUGACGCUCAUGCACGAAAGCGUGGGGAGCAAAACAGGAUUAGAUACCCUGGUAGUCCACGCCCUAAAACGAUGUCAACUAGCUGUUGGGGUCUUCGGACCUUGGUAGCGCAGCUAACGCGUGAAGUUGACCGCCUGGGGAGUACGGUCGCAAGAUUAAAAACUU
rnacentral:rRNA from 1 species